rnacentral:lncRNA from 1 species
UGCAGAUUCAAGAUAAAAUUCAUUCGGAAAGGCGACGCUCCUACGUGUUCAAAUUCACGGAGAUGUGUGCCUUCCCUCCAAAGUCAAACAUACACUAUGAUAAUUUUAAAAUCAUCAAAAAAGGAAAAACACAAACAGAUAAAAUUAAACAAAAUUUCUUUCUGUCAAAAAAAGCAAAAUAAACAAAUAAUAAAUUGAGAAAAAUUAUUUGCAAAUCCCACUAGACCGAUGCCCAUCUGAAAAUGGGCCAAGAGCACGUAGGAAGCUGGAGCUUGGAGAUCGCACGAGCCCCAGCGCCCCCUGGUGGCCGUCUCAGGCAUUGCCGGCAACACAGGUGUCCCCACCUGGGCAUCCCAGCCGCCAUGCAGCGGCUCCCGCAAACCACCGUGGUGCCAGGUGAGUCUGGCCGGGAUGCACCCCUGCUGGUGGAAUCCCACCCGCUAUAGAAAAGGGUGAGGGAUGAGCACGUGUACUGGGGUUAGUUUUCUAUGCUGCAUAACAAACUACCACCACGUAGCCGCUGAAAACACGCAGGCGUCCAGCACAGCGAGCUGGGGUCCUGGCUCAGGAGCCGUCCCAUCAGGGCUCCGGUUGGUGGCAGAAUUUGGCUUCUUGCGGAGAGAGGACUGAGGUCCCGCUCUUUUGCUACUUUGUGGCCUUCACAACCCCUGCUCCCUCAAGGCCUGUGGAGCGCCUCUGUAACUCUCCUUGGUCACAGUCCUGCCACACACAUGGAGAAAUCCUGGGCACAUCUUCCAGGGGCGGGAAUCCAGGGCCACCCUAAAAUCCUGGGGAGGCGGUGAACAAAUGACCCCAUCACAGGUAGCAGUCCCGAGGGAGGGCUGGGCCAGGGCUGGCCGCCACAGGCAGCAUCACAGCUCCGAAGCUGGGCCACCAGCAAAGCCACAAAACCCAUCACCUCCUGAUCCAGACUCACAUAACGUAACCCCAGUUGUAAAACUCCACAAACGCACUGCCCAGAGCGUUCCAGCACUGCAGGGGGCAGUACCUCCCCUCUCCCCCGUCGGGGGUUGCGGUGGCUCAGAGCAGACUCUGGAGAGCAAGCAGAGCCCCUCUGAAUGCUUCUCCAGGUGCGGGGCUCAAGCCUCACCAGGUGGCACAGCUCGCCUGGCUGCUGGGGGCAGGGCCAUCCCUCAUGAACACCCACAGCACGUAGCCAAGUGCCACCAGUGGGAGGCCAGAGGAACAGCUUACUCUAGGCAAUACAGCAGAGCCGCAUGGGUCGGAGGAGGGCAUUACAGAAAGUGUCACGGGGUCCUAAAGCCUGGGUCCCCUACUGGAGGCCUUCGUUGAGCACAUUCACUCCCUCACCAGCCAGGUACUGCAGCAGGCCCUG